CCCUGUCAGUCUCCCCUAUUUUUGUUAAUUUCAGAAACACAAAACAACAUCAGUCCUUGUGUUUGCUUUGUAUAAGAAAAAAACAACGAUGAAGAUUCAAGAACUAUACCAACUGCAUCAUAAACCACAUCGAAUUUCUCGGGCAGGUCUUCGAAGUUCUCCUUGGUGUAAUCAAUAGCCAAAUCAGCACCAAAGCUUCUCAAAAGAUCAAGUUUUUUCGUGCUCGCUGUAGCUGCUACUUUUGAAGCACCAAACACAUGCUUUGCUAGCUGCCUCACAUAAACACAUUGAGUGUCAUGAAUAAUUCAUCGAUCAGCUUUACUUAAUUACAGCCUAACUUAAUGGAAAAUGUUUGCACUUGAUUAACAUUGUACCUGAAUAACAUGUGUUCCGACUCCCCCAGCGCCUCCCAAAACAAGGAUGGAUUUACCGGCAGAGAAUUCAACUCGUUCGAGCCCUUCAUAGGCAGUCUCAAUGGCCAGGGGAAGGCUAGCAGCUUCAACAAAACUCAGAUUUUUGGGCUUAAGAGCUAACACUCUUUCUUCUGCAGCAGUGUACUCGGCCAAAGAUCCGAUCUUUUUCGGCUUAUCGAUAGCCUUCUCGUUGAGAUCCCCAUAUACUUCAUCCCCCACAUUAAACUUUGUCACCCGGCUUCCUACUUUCACCACCACACCAGCAACAUCAUACCCUGGAACCGUCUGCAAACAAGUUAAUUUAAUAAAAUUAAUAUUUUAGCAAACAAGCAAAUUGGGUUUACACUAGAAUUUGAAGAUCAACUUUGAUUCUUCAAAGCAAGUUUCUUGUUAUUUCUUAACCUUUCAAUUUUUAUUUUACUUUACAAGAUGAUAAUUUAAACUAAUCUACAUGUGGGGAUUCAAACUUGGGUGUCAUCAUCUAAAGAAGAACGAGCACAUUGUUCUGGCCAACUUACGUAAUACGCGUUUGUCUAAAGAAAAACAAGGACAAUGCUCUAACCAACUGACAUAAUACGCGUUUACAAAAAGAAAAUUUAUUCUAACAAAAAGAUCAACUAGAUCAGCUUUGAUUCUUCAAAUAUAUUUAACUAAAUUAUAAGUUGGUAAAGACUAAAACUUUUAAAUCCCCCAACUCACAAACUAAUCCUGCAUUUGACUUCAGUGAAAAAAAUGAAGAGAGAGAGAGAGAGAGGCUACAGGGGGUGAAGAGUCAGAGUCCUUGAAGUAGCCAAGCAUCCUUUUGAAAUCAACUGGGUUGAGAGAUGCAGCAACCACCUUGAUCAGCACCUGGUCUUCCUUUAUUUCAGGAACAGGAACAUUCGGAUCGAACUUCAAAACAUCUGCAGACUUUCCGUACUCUGAGUACACCCACGCCUUGUUUACUGAUGGUAUGGAAACUGAAUCACUUGAAGCUACAACAGCCGCCAUUGAUGCACUGCAAAAACCACAAGAAAAAGGGAAAGGGUUUGUUGUUGUUGUUGUGAGCAAAUGAGUUAGAUCAGAUCAGAGUGUGAUAUCUCGACAGCGUGUCGUUUUAAAGGGAAGGAGAAGGAUGUGGAACCUUGGUGUUUGCCUACGUGGCCGUAUAAGAAAAAACUCCAAAUGAUGCAUCAAGAUGUACUGUUAGUUAGGUUCAGUGGGACAACAUGCCAAAUUAUGCAUGUAGACGCAUCGUUACUUGAGGUUCGUUGUGUGCGGCAACAACAACAACAACAACAACAACAAAGCCUUUUCCCACUAAGUGGGGUCGGCUAUAUGAAUCCUAGAACGCCAUUGCGCUCGGUUUUGUGUCAUGCCCUCCGUUAGAUCCAAGUACUCUAAGUAUUUUCUUAGAGUCUCUUCCAAAGUUUUCCUAGGUCUUCCUCUACCCCUUCGGCCCUGAACCUCUGUCCCGUAGUCACAUCUUCGAACCGGAGCGUCAGUCGGCCUUCUUUGCACAUGUCCAAAUCACCAGAGCCGAUUUUCUCUCAUCUUUCCUACAAUUUCGGCUACUCCUACUUUACCUCGGAUAUCCUCAUUCCCAAUCUUAUCCUUUCUCGUGUGCCCACACAUCCCACGAAGCAUCCUCAUCUCCGCUACACCCAUUUUGUGUACGUGUUGAUGCUUCACCACCCAACAUUCUCUGCCAUACAACAUCGCUGGCCUUAUUGCCGUCCUAUAAAAUUUUCCCUUGAGCUUCAGUGGCCUACGACGGUCACACAACACACGCCGGAUGCACUCUUUCCAUCCAGCUCGUAUUCUAUGGUUGAGAUCUCCAUCUAAUUCUCCGUUCUCUUGCAAGAUAGAUCCUAGGUAACGAAAACGGUCGCUUUUUGUGAUCUUCGCUAGAUUGCUCCGGUCAUUAGUGUGGAUAAGUAUAUAAAUGGAUAGAGAUAGGAAAGCAAACACAAGAUGUACGUGGUUCACCCAGAUUGGCUACGUCCACGGAAUAUAAGAGUUCUCAUUAAUUGUGAAGGGUUUACACAAGUACAUAGGUUCAAGCUCUCCUUUAGUGAGUACGAGUGAAUGAUUUAGUACAAAUGACAUUAGGAAAUAUUGUGGGAGAAUGAUCUCGUAAUCACGAAACUUCUAAGUAUCGGAGUGUGGUGUCGUCUUGACUUGCCUUAUCUGUCUCAUAGGUAGAUGUGGCAUCUUCUCUGGAAGUACUCUUCCUCCAUCCAGGGGUGGUAUCUUUAACUGGUGGAGAUGCACAAGGUAAUGUAUCAAUUUCACUUGAAGCUUACUUGUAGUUUCAGGCUUGGUCAAGCGCGAUACAAACCAUGUAGUAGGAGUCCCCCAAGUCGCCGAGCUAGGGGGUCUGCUGAAAGAGGUGACAGACAAGGUAAGCAAUCAGAGCUCCGACUGAUUGUUCACCUUCUCCCCAUCUUGCAGCAGCAUGAAGGAUAAAGAGAAGAAAGAUGAGAAGAGAUGAUAUGAGAUACUUUUGCUUUUGAAGAAGUAACUUUCCACAGGCUUAUUCUUGAACUGAGCUGGAGGGUUUUCUGGUUUCCUCCAGAGUAUAAGGCCGACUGAAGAAUUUGAGGGUCAAAACAAGUCCAUCAAAUCUAGAGUACGUUCCACCCUGCUGAUAUAGGAUACUUUUGCUUUUGACAGAGUAAUGGAUGUAUCGGCACGUGUGCUGUUACGCUUGUCUCCACAUGCUUCCUUGUAUCCUUCGCACUUGCCCUAUCUGUUCCUCAAGCAGAUGCGGAAUCUUCCCUGGAAACAUAAGAUGAUGAAGAUGAGUACUCGAGAGCAAUGCCAGGUAAGUAAUCAGGUAAGGGGUUCCAGGCAGUCAGUUCCUGGCUGGAAGCUUGAUUCCAAGUGCUGACUGAUUGCUCUCUUUCUCCUUGUCUUGCAGGUAAAAACAAGGCCAAAAGAAAAAACAGGGAAAAAGCAUGAUAUGGGAUACUCUUGCUUUUAACCCUGAUGAUAUGAGAUAUUCUUGCUCUAGUAUAGCUUGUUUGCAGAGGUAUUAUCGGGGGGAAAGAAAGCUGAAUAUUUCGAAAGGCUUUGUUGGGAGUGCCCUCUCAGAUAUGAUGAAGGGUUGAGCAUUUUUUGCAGGUCUGCCUGUCCGUUGGGGAUGGAGGUCGACAUAUAUAGGAGUCUCCCUAACAACAAGUAGUAAAUGCUAUUCCUUUACCCUGCUUGGUCAUAGCACGGUAGUGGGAGCUGCCAGUUUCACAUGUUUUAACUCUGUCAGAGCACUUUGAAAAAGUGGUCUGUGGUAUCUGGCUCUCGAGAUUCGGAGAACGAUGCCUCUUCGAUUUUUGAGAAAGCAAUCAUGCUGGGGGUCUGACUCUCGAGAUUCGGAGAGCAGUGUCUCUUCGAUUUUUGAGGAAGUAAUCAUGUUGGGAGUCUGGCUCUCGAGAUUCGGAAGGCGGUGCCUCUUCGAUUUUGGAGCAAGCAAUCUUGUUGGGAGUGUUGUCUCGAAUGUGAGUAAAGGUUGGACAUGUUUGCUAGUCUACCUUGCCACGAAGCACAAAGGUUGACACACAUGGACUUUCCAAUUAUCCAGCAAUGGUACUGUUCCUUUACCCUCUCUUCGAUUUUGAGAAAGUAGUCAUGUUGGGAGUCUGGCUCUCGAGAUUCGGAGGAAGGUGCCUCUUCGAUUUUGGAGCAAGCAAUCUUGUUGGGACUGUUUUCUCGAAUGUGAGUAAAGGUUGGGCAUGUUUGCUAGUCUACCUUGCCACGAAGCACAGAGGUUGACACACAGGGACUUUCCAAUUAUCCAGCAGUGGUACUGUUCCUUUACCCUUGUGGGUAAUAAUAUGGUAGCUAGACCUUCAAAAUUUUAUGUGUCUAAACUUUGUUAGUGCUGUUUCUUUGCUAUUCUUUUACCUUUCUUGGUCAGAGCGAUGUAGUGGGAGCUGCAAGCUUCACGUGCUCAACUUUGGCAGAGAACUUUGGCAAAGUGAUCUGUGGUACCCAUGAGUUAUUGUUGCGUGUGGGAAGUGGGUGAUUGAACAGUAAGAUUCAUGUGCUUUCUACUUCACCAGAAGUCUUCGACAGAAUGCCCAUAAUUUCUGCAAAGCUGAGUGUGCGUGUGACAGGUGCUGACAAGGCUAGAAAAGUAGGUGCCUCUUCGAUUUCUGAGAUCGGCCCUCGUGGUCUCUGAGCAGCCCAGCUUUUGAGAAAGCGAGCGCCUCUUCGAUUGAUUCGGAGAACGGUGCCUCACCGAUUUUUGAGAAAGCAAUCAUGCUGGGGGUCUGGCUCUCGAGAUUCGGGGAGCAGUGUCUCUUCGAUUUUUGAGAAAGUAAUCAUGUUGGGAGAGUGGCUCUCGAGAUUCGGAGGGCGGUGCCUCUUCGAUUUUGGAGCAAGCAAUCUUGUUGGGAGUGUUUUUCUCGAAUGUGAGUAAAGGUUGGGCAUGUUUGCUAGUCUACCUUGCCACGAAGCACAGAGGUUGACACACAGGGACUUUCCAAUUAUCCAGCAAUGGUACUGUUCCUUUACCCUCUCUUCGAUUUUUAAUAAAGUAGUCAUGUUGGGAGUCUGGCUCUUUAGAUUCGGAGGACGGUGCCUCUUCGAUUUUGGAGCAAGCAAUCUUAUUGGGAGUGUUUUCUCGAAUGUGAGUAAAGGUUGGGCAUGUUUGCUAGUCUACCUUACCACGAAGCACAGAGGUUGACAUACAUGGACUUUCCAAUUAUCCAGCAGUGGUACUGUUCCUUUACCCUUGUGGGUAAUAAUAUGGUAGCUAGACCUUCAAAAUUUAUGGGUCUAAACUUUGUUAGUGCUGUUUCUUUGCUAUUCUUUUACCCUUCUUGGUCAGAGCGAUGUAGUGGGAGCUGCAAGCUUCACGUGCUCAACUUUGGCAGAGAACUUUGGCAAAGUUAUCUGUGGUACCCAUGAGCUAUUGUUGCGUGUGGGAAGUGGGUGAUUGAACAGUAAGAUUCAUGUGUUUUCUACUUCCCCAGAAGUCUUUGACAGAAUGCCCAUAAUUUCCGCAAAGCUGAGUGUGCGUGUGACAGGUGCUGACAAGGCUGGAAAAGUAGGUGCCUCUUCGAUUUCUGAGAUCGGCCCUCGUGGUCUCUAGGGAGCCCAGCUUUUGAGAAAGCGAGCGCCUCUUCGAUUUCUGAGAUCGGCCUUCGUGGUCUUUGAGCAGCCCAACUUUUGAGAAAGCAAACGGCUCUUCGAUUUCUGAGAUCAACCCUCGUGAUCUCUAAGCAGCCCAACUUUUGAGAAAGCAAACGCCUCUUCGAUUUCUGAGCAGGCGCCUCUUUGAUUUCUGAAGCUCCGUCGAGUGCAGAUUUUUAUAGAGGCUGGCAUUAAGUUCCAAAGCACACUUGAAUCUCCACCAGUAGAAGCUUCAUUCUUGCACUUCUAAGAUCUUGAUUUGUCCGACCUCUUCUCUUUUCAACACCUUUGAAAAUGUAUGGCCCCUCCGACCGUCGUUUUGACUUGAACCUUGUUGAAGAGGCAGCCCCGCCUUCUCCAGACAACAUAUGGCGCCCAUCCUUCGUCUCCCCAACUGGUCCUCUUACCGUUGGGGAUUCCGUGAUGAAGAAUGAUAUGACCGCUGCGGUGGUGGCCAGGAACCUUCUCACUCCCAAAGAUAACAGACUACUUUCCAAACGGUCUGAUGAGUUAGCUGUUAAGGAUUCGCUGGCUCUCAGUGUUCAGUGUGCAGGUUCUGUGUCUAAUAUGGCCCAACGCCUAUUUGCUCGAACCCGCCAAGUUGAAUCAUUGGAGGCUGAAGUGAUGAGUCUCAAACAGGAGAUUAGAGGGCUCAAGCAUGAGAAUAAACAGUUGCACCGGCUCGCACAUGACUAUGCUACAAACAUGAAGAGGAAGCUUGACCAGAUGAAGGAAACUGAUGGUCAGGUUUUACUUGAUCAUCAGAGAUUUGUGGGUUUGUUCCAAAGGCAUUUAUUGCCUUCGUCUUCUGGGGCUGUACCGCGUAAUGAAGCUCCAAAUGAUCAACCUCUGAUGCCUCCUCCUUCUAGGGUUCUGUCCAGUACUGAGGCUCCAAAUGAUCCCCCUCCGGUGCCUUCUCUUUCUGGGGCUCUACCGACUGCUGAGACUUCUCCUAAGCAACCUUUGUGAAGGCUCCCUCUUGUGUGUUUAUUUUGACUCAUGUAUAUGUACAUAUUUGUAGCUUAUCGGGGAUAUCAAUAAAUAAGCUUUCCUUCAUUUCAACGUAUUGUGUUAAAUACACCAAAGCCUUCUUCGCUAAGUUCUUUGAAUUUUCUUUUGUUGAAGCUUGUAUGUUGAAGCUUUCUGAGUGGAGCAUGUAACGUCGCUGAUAUCUAGCGUCGAAGUUUUCUUCCUUAUAUAUCCUUAUCCUUGAAUUUUCUUCUUUCUUGUUGACACGUCUAACAAGAAAUAUAAGAAGAAAAAACCCAGCAGUUUCCGUGACUUGGCUCUUUUGUAAGUAAGUGCUUACGUAAGAAAUAUUAAUUUAUAACUUUAGGUAGGUUACUAUUAUUAUUUUUUAAUAAAUGAUAUUAUCUUAUACUAAGAUCAUCUUCAUUUGAUGGGGUAAAGCUAAAAAUAUAAGUUUUAAAACCUCCCAAACCAUCUCCAACCAUGGGCUAAAAUAAGCCAUGGAGAGAAAAUACAUCUCUAGGCUAGAUUCCUUCCAGAGUUUAAGUCGGGCUUAAAUUAUUCUGAACCUACAAAACUGUCAUAUUUUGACACGCCCCGAUCCCGAUAUUCCUCGAAUACCAAGAUAGGCACGUGCUGGCCGACACCCAAGGGUGACGAAAGCCAUUAAUUGAAUGCAAAUGCUGAGAAUAAGGAAUAGAUAAGGUUUAUAAAUAUAAAAGAAUAAAGAAUAUGCAUUUAAGGAACGUGUUCAGAGCACACAUCUAAUCGAGAAUAUUAGAAGAAUUAACAUAAACAAAUUGAAUGAACACAGAACUGGGUCCUACACCUAGAGGACUCGAAGAUACCGAUGCGGAAGUGUCUGGAUGCCGGGAUUGUACGCCUCGAUUCUAAGUCCUGAAGGGGGUGCAAAACAAACAUGAGUGGACCAAGUUGAUAUAUAUAUAAUAAAACAGUUAUCAACGUACUAACCCCCAGGUUUAUGAAAACAUAUAUAUAAUGAUAAACAUAGGUUUUCCGAAUUCUAGCAUGAUGUGCAGUAUCUCAAAUCAUAACUCAUAUAUAAUAAUCACUAGUGAAUUGUCCGAUAACCCCCAGGCCCCAUGCCGGCUCCCCGUCUCUGAGCAGACAGUCAGAGGAAAAUACACUUCAGGCCCCAUGCCGGCUCCCCGUCCCUGGUCUUAAAUGCCAGAGGAAACACCCUCCAGGCCCUAUGCCAACACCAAACCGUCGCCCGGGACGGACCGGAAUCUAUCCCUACGUCCCGUAGCAGAAAGGACCACUAGGUAAGUACAAAACCAUUGACAUAUAUAUAUAUUGAAAAACAACUUCAUAGUAUAAAGUCAUCCAUCAUCUAUACUAUAAAGAGGUGUUCGAAACAUGUUCUACAUAUCAUAUCGUCAUCCAUCGGAUAUUCUAUAAGAACAUGGGUUAUAGGAAAAAUAGUAAUAAUUCAAACUAGCCUUAGUAAGCAUGUUAUCUCAAAACGUUUCAUAAAACGUAAUCAUUAAAUCAUGCCUUUCAUGUAUGCAUUUCUACUAUUAAAACAUGCUUUUGAAGGGGUCCACUCACAGUACUUAGCCGCCGAAGAGUCACGCAAACUAACGAACAAGAAAACGUCACCAAUAAUUGCCCCUAAGCACAUAAAGGGUCCAAUUAAUAAAACUCUAGUUUAACAAUUGAAUUGGGAAAAUGGACUUCAAAAACGGGUCCAGGAUGUCGAAAUUAGCCUAGGAGAGGUCCUGGACGAAACCUCGAAAAGUUAACUCAAAAAGUCAACGUUGACCGUUGACCGGUCAAAGUCAAAGUCAACGUCAAAGUCAACUCUGACCGUUGACUAGGUCAACAAUCAGAGUCAACUAGUCAAGGACAAAGCCAAAAUGGGCUUGGGGUUUGGGUUUUAAUUAAGCUAAAGGGACUUGGGAAAAGGGCUGAAAGCCCACUUUACAAUUGGCCCUAAGGCCUUACUUCCUAAAACAGAAAAUAAAUAAAAACCUUAAAAAGGUUUCUUGGGUUUGACUAAUGGGCUACGGGCCCUAAAUUCCUAAUGGCCCGAAGGCCUUUAAGGGUCCUAAAACAAUUACAAUUAAAUAAAAUAAUUAAAAGUAAAAAUAGGCUAGGGUUUUGGGCUUGGCUCCCCAAACCACACGGGCCUAAGGCCCGCUUAGCAUGGAACCGGCCUGGGAGGCCUGUCUCGCCGGAGCACCACCACCGGAGCUUCACAGCUCCGGCCGACUUCCACACACAACCCUAGACUUCGAUCUAGGUACCAAAACGAAGAGCAAGACGAGGGGAGUAUUUCUAUACCUUCCUUUCGUCGUGGAAUGGCCGGAGAUGGCCGGAAAAACCCCCGAGGUCGCCGGAGUUGGGUGUGCUUACACCCGGCUUCAAUUUCGUCCUAUAACCUCCAAAAAUCACGAAUUAACUCCAAUUAAACCUCAAUCUCGCAAGAAUCAAGGACGAAAAGAGAGAAUUAGGGGCUUACCUAACCGGAGAUUGAAAAAUCUCGCCGGAGCUCCUUUUCCGGUUCUCUGGGGUCGCGGGAACGAGAGGGAGAGAGAGAGAGAGAGCAGGACGCGGUGAUGAAGGGUGAUGGGCUUCCUCGCGCAGGGAGAUGGGUGCGUGCAUGUGUGCGCGGUGCAGAGAAGAGGGAGAGAAGUGAGAGAUGAGAGAGAGCCGAGAGGGAGAGACAGGAAGAAAGAAAAGAAAAACAGAAAAGAAGAAGAAAGAAGGGAGUUCACGGGGGGGGGGGGACAGAGAGAGAAGAAGGUGAAAUUGUUUGGGGUGCUGCCACGUGGCAGAUUUAGAAAGAAAGGGAUCCAUUUUCAGAUUGGGUAGAUAAAAUGGGACAAAAUUGAUAUAAUUAAAAUGUUUUGGGGUAAUUACAUACAUAUAUUUUUAUAAUUAGGGGGCGGGUGUUACAUAUUUCAAACAUUUUUUAAUUUUUUACUUAUAAUCUAACGGCUAUGAUCAAAUGAGAUUAAAUCUAAUAGUAAAAGAAAGAUUUGACGGUCCAAAAUUAAAUAAUGUCUAAAAUAAUUUAAGAAAAUGAUUUACAUCAAAUUUAACUUAAAAUUUUAUAAAUACCUAUGUAUUUGUAUGAUUUAUAAUUACUUAUUAUCGAAAGUUAAAUAUUUUAAGACUAAAAUGUUCAUAAAAAUAAAUUAAGAUAAUCUACAUAAUUUUAUUUUUUUUUUAAGAAAAGUUAUCGAAAACAAAAGGUUUGGCUAAAAUCAUUAUUUAAUCAUCACGGGCUAAAAUUUUAAGCCACAAGGGUUGGAUGAAAAAAGCAGUUUUUGGCUUAUGGCUUAAAAUUUUAAGUUUUAUGCCCAAGGGUUGGAGAUGGUCUAAAGGAGUGAGGGAAGUGGGCUAAGCCCCACAAUGAGCUAGCAAUAAUGUGGUUCAAAUUAGUAAAGGUGCAGUUAAAAAAUAUUAUUUAUAGACUUAUUAGAGGUAUAGUUAAAAAAUAUUAUUAGGGAAUUGUUAUUAGCACUCCAAAAAUCUCAUUUGGCACUCCAAACUUUCUAUAAUUAGAAAGAAAAAUACACUUAUAAUGAGUGUAUAAUGAGAUUUUUGGAAUGCUAAUAACAGUUCCCUAUUAUUAAUUGACUUAUUUAUCUUUAAUUAAUGUUGUAUUUUCUAAAUAGGAUUUCUGAAAAGGACAAUAUGAAAAUACAAAAAAAGUUUCAUGCCAAGAAGUUGUAAACAUGCUUAAGAAAUUAGAAACAUUUUGGCUUCAAUAAGAAGGUGUCAUGUUGAUAGAGUAUUAUGUACUUGCAAGUUCAAAGUCGUAGCAACAACUCCAAAAACUAAAGCAUUGCCUCAGACAAUUUUAGAUAAAUAUUUUAGUUCAUCUUAAACUUUUAUUUAUGGUAUUGCAUAUUUUUGUACUCGAACAACUUUAGAGAAAUAUUUUAGUUUCCUUAAGAUGAGACUAAGAAAAAUUAUAACUUAUUAAAAUGUAGAGUUUAUUCCUAUGCAUAACUAGUCUUUUAAGUUGGGACCAUAAUCUUUUGUGACUUGAGGUUAUUCCUUUAUGGAGUAUUACUUUAGAAAGGUUUUACUGUAGUUAAGGCGUUUUUUAUGAAAGCGCUUUCAUUAAAAACAAAUCAAAGUUUUUAUUAUAAACCCAAUUGCACUUUUUUAGUUGAUGAAGGGAGAAUGUUGUGCAGGCAUUGUCACUUGAGGUUCACUGUGUGAGAACAAGUUACGCAACUCAAGUUCUGUUUCUUAUUUUUCACGACUAAGGCAUUCAAUUGAAGUUUACUUUCUUACUUAUCACACCUACAACAAGAAAAACAAGACGAAGAAAAAAACACCUGUACUUUUGUAGUUGACCUAGUUUAAAUGGAAGUGCUAAAUAAGAGCAAAUAUAUCUGCUCUAACCAAUGCCUGUGUUAAAGCAAAAAAACACAACAAUGAGCAAGUAGGAAGAAAACACAGUGAAAACUAGCCAAACUCGAAGCACUAUAUUUGUAUAUAUAUAAUUGCGCCGCCCUUAUUACAAGUCUUUUUAAACAGCAGGCAGCAGGAUACAAGUAUAUAUCACACACAAACAGAUUGCAUGGCUGAACUAGUACUCUCUAUGAUUUCAUGGAAUGGGAUACACAACCACCUUUCCGGUAGCUCUGGAGGUUUCAAGAUAGGCAAAUGCUUCAACAUUCUUCGAAAAUGGAUACGGCCCGGUGGGAUCAAGCACCGGCCUCACCUUCCCACUCUCCAAGUAAGGCUUCAGUUUCUCUAAUACAGUUCCGGUUGAAGUCAGCAUAAAUAGGAAUGCCGGUGGCGCUACUGGACGUACAAUUGUCAGUACCUUCCCGCCUGCCUUCACCAUCUUCACUGCCCUGUCAGUCUCCCCUAUUUUUGUUAAUUUCAGAAACACAAAACAACAUCAGUCCUCGUGUUUGAUUAAUUCCUGAUAAAUAAAUAAAAAAUGUUGUAACCUUGAUGUAUUUUAUUUGGUUGGAUAGCAUCAUGCAUUGAAUUGUUUAAGCUUAAUUUAUGUAAGAAAGAACCAACAAUGAAGAUUCAAGAAUCAUCCCAACUGCGCCAUAAACCACAUCGAAUUCCUCGGGCAGGUCUACGAAGUUUGUUGGGGACAACACAUGUAAACAAAUUACUUAUAUUACACACACAAAAUAUUACAACACACUCUCAAGGACACACUUUAGAAGCUACGACACUUACUCACUCAAGAGACACACUCUAGACCACUCACACUCUUCACAAGACUACUCUUGCUUCUUGGCUACCUUCUAGUUCUUUCUACAAACUAGAACUAGUUUCUAGCUUCUAAUAUAUUCUACAAAUCUCUAACUUAGAUAAUUCUAGACUAGCCACCCUACUUUGCAUGCUAGAAUCUUCUAGAACAAUUCAAUGCAUGUUUGAACUAGAACAAUCUAGUUCCCUUAUACCGACUAAGCUUAAUGGGCUGGUGUUGAUCUUUAACACUCCCCCCUCAACACCAGCUCAUUCUUUUCUUCUCGCUAAGUCGACACUUUAUCUUGAACACCCAUUUACAUGAGAUGGGUUUUACUUCUCUUGGCCUUGACACUUAAUCCCAAGUUUGAUAUUUCUUUAACGCAUCGACCUUUUCUGACACCGGAUAAUGGAGAUCAAAGAGAAACCACAAGUGAACACUCAAAGAUAAACAACUCACCACUCUAAGGAAUCCACCAAAGAGAUAAGAGUUUAAGGAUAGGAAGAAAAACACUCUUCACUAAACCAAGUUUAAAAGGUUAAGGAUAGGAAGAAAAACACUCUUCACUAAACCAAGUUUAAAAGUAAUUCUUAAUUUCUGAAUGAUUUAUUUCCAUACAUGAGUAGGGAUUUUUAAUAGUCUAGGCAUGGAACAACCUUCGACCUUCCAUGAAUAGGUUACUAAGCAUGAACUUAAUGUAAGACUAAUCAUGAACUUAAAUGAGAACAUGAACCAUCUUUGAAUUAAAUACGAUGAAUGCACCAUGUAAUAAUUAGAUGAGUCCAAGUUCGGCGUCAUUUUCUCCUAGCUUUAUGCCAUUCAGAAUUCUGUAAUGCUUCUUUACGCAUUGCUUCAACUGCUUCUUCUACUAUGGUUGUGUUGGCGUAUAUGGGAUUUGGCUUCAGUAUUCUCAUUGACCUCCUUAGUUCUGAUUGUGGAGUUGAUACUUCCACUUCAAUAGGUCUAACUUCUCUUGGUGGUUGAUACACACUAGUUUGCCAAUGACCCUUAGGCACUUCUUGCUCGACAUCGUCUCUAGCAAGCAAAUCUUCAGGCUCAUUUGGACUCAAUUGGACUUGGGUAGCUUGGUCUCCCAUUUUCUCCUGCAACAUAUCUUCAAUCUCUUUCGAGUCGGAAAAUGCUUCAUUUUCUGAGCACCAACAAGAUGAUGCUUCUGUGUCCCAUUCUUCCUUCAUAGCUAGAUACGCUACGGUGUCCCAAUCAUCUUCAUUUUCCUCCUUUGAGCUGGCGACAUUACUUUCUGUGGGCUUUUUGAACCAGGAAUCCUUCGCUAUAUGGCCCUUCUUUCCAUAAUUGUAACAUUUGCCCUCAAACCUUUUAUUAUUUUGGGACUGACCACGGUUGUCGUGAUAUUUCGGAGCUACCCCUGGCCGAGAACACCCUUUUCCUUGAUGACCUUUCGCCUUGUCACCAUUUGUUUUAGAUUCUCCAUCAUCACGCUGCUUAAAGCUACCUUUACUUUUGGUGUAGAGCGUUUCCUCCUCACCUUUUAACAAGACCUCUCCCAUUUGCUUUGCCAAAGCUUCUUGAUUGGCAAGCAAAUUCUCAAACUCAACAAGUGAUGGUUGGGUAGGCCAUCCUUGUACAGCGGCAACGAAGCCUCGAUAUUCGGGUCUCAAUCCAUGGAUAAUUAUUCUUUUUAUCCUGAAUUCUACAAUGGCAGCAUUAGGAUCUAACUCAGAAAUUUCACGGCAAAUAGACUUUACCUUGUGGAAAUAUUCGGCAAUCGUCAUGUCUCGUUGGGCCACCGAUAACAACUCGUUCUCAAGAAUCUGCAGUCUUGUAUCAUUCCUCUUUGAAAAGAGUGUGGUGAAGGUGUCCCACCCUUCUUUCGGUGUCUUGGCCUUUCCGUAUGUGCUCCAACAUGUCCUAUUCAAUUGUCGUUUUUAAGGUGAACAUUGCAUUACCUGGCUUGAUCUUCCAUUUCGACAAAGUGCCGCUAGAGUCUUCUUCCGACUGUGUGAUCUCAUUAUCGCCGGUGACAUCCCAAAGAUCUUGGCCUUGUAGGUAAGACUCUAUACAUGUCACCCAUAUGUUGUAAUUUUUUUUUAUUAAGCUUUUUGAUUCCUCCAACAACUUGAAGAUCUCCCAUCGUGUCGACAAAACUUCGAUAAGCCGAACAAGAUUAACUAAUAAUCUUGUAAAGUACUAAACUUCUCACGAUUCUCUAAAGCUUCAAUAGAGAUGGUCCUUUGAUCGUACCGCUCUGAUACCAAUUGUUGAGGAAAAAUUAGAGUACACAACUCUAACACAAGUGUUGGGUGUCUACAAAAUAGAAAAUAUAUUCGAACAAAAAAAAUCAACUAGAUCAAUUUUGAUUCUUCAAAUAGAUUAAACUAAAUUAUAAGUUGGUAAAGAUUAAAACUUUUCUAAAUCCCCCAAAUCACAAGCUAAUCAUGCAUUAGUGAAAAAGAUAUGAAGAGAGAGAGGCUCAUAAGGGGUGGAGAGUCAGAGUCCUUCAAGUAGCCAAGUAUCAUUUUCAAAUCAACUGAGUUGAGAGAUGCAACAACCACCUUGAUCAGCACCUGGUCUUGUUUGGGUUAAAACUUGAACUUUGGGCUCAAGAAGGAGUUGGCCCAAAAGAAAGAGGUCUAGAAGGAGAAAAGCCCGAAGCCCAGCCAAAGCCCAGAAAGCAGGAGAGGCCAUUUCUGACUAGGUGCAGACCAUUUGAACCACUUGCUCACCUACUUAGAGGUCAAGUGGUAUAGACCAGCCAGCUAAUCAGCCCAAAAACAAUUUACAGUGGCGGUACAAGUAAAAAGCUGAUGAGUCAUUGCCCUUCAAGUUGCAUUCGGGCAAGAUUACUGCUUCAGGAGACCAAGCCGAAGUGUCUAUAAAAGAAGAAAGAGAAAUCAAAGAUAAGGACACUCAAUCAAACAAACAAAUACAAGCACAAACUCUGCUCAAACCAGAUUUGCCUUCAACGAAGCUGUAGUCAGCCCAAGUCUUCAUCCAUUUUGGGAUUAACCCUCAACCAAAGCCUUUGUAAUAGCUCUGCUACCUUGUCUAGAACUUGUUGUAGUAUCGAUUUCCUUUUGUAAACCCAUCUCCUUACCCCUCUUUCUAAGCUCUCAAACCCCUUGAUAAACCACAAAGAUAGGAAGUUGCAAGACGAUCAGCCUUGCCCGACCCUCUAUGUUUUUGUCUUUUCAUUCAUUAGUCUAGCAAUAUGUUGUAUACUUCCAGUUGUAUCCAAGUUAUUUCUGGCAAGUUGAUGAUUAAAAAGGCUCAUCAAUUCUUGAAUCCGAUUUAAAUAUGUCUUCACAGAUUAAAUUAGAUCUAAGUUCUAAGCCCUCGGGCAUGUAAGAUUGAUCAUUUAAAAGUCCUUGGUCUCAAGGCAUAAAAAAGAACCUUAUGUGGACUUAACCCAUCCACGACAGUCUUUGAUAAACAAGAAGUCCGAAGUUACUUAGGGCGCAAGUAAUCGACCUAUCCCUUAGUAUUAUUUCUAUUAUAUUAUGAUUAUCGUAGAACGUUUGAGCAUAGAAUGAAUUCUGAUGGGAAGCCUCAAGGCCUACACCUAAGGCCCUACAAAGGCACCUAUUUGGAUUCUUUCUGCUUUUCGGGGGCAAGUAAUCAGAAGUAUAAUAGUCAUAAUACUUCUGUAAUCAAUGAAACAAACAUUAUAUAUUUGAGUACUAGGUUAGUUCCUGAUUGGAAGCCUCAAGGCCUACCCCUAAGGCCCCACAAAGGCACAUUUCAUAACUAAAACAGCCUAUCGGGUAUAUAUACAACUAAAACUCAACAUCUGUUUUACAUCUGCCAUGCUGAAGAUGGCAGUGACACGCCUGAGCACUUAAAAGUUAAUCUUGAUUGUGUGCCUCAAGGCCUAUACCUAAGGCCCCACAAAGGCACAUUUCAAAGUUAACUUUGUCUUUCUUUUUCAGCCUUGCCCGACAAGCCUGCCAGUGAAGCAGAAGCCCGACAGAAAGUAUCGACCGGCGCUAACCUCUCGGGGAGCUGUGUGCUCGUUGGCUAAGAAACACCCCCAACGAAAAUUCUAGCCACGAACAGGUCUUCAUUUGUUUCGGGAACAAGAACAUCCGGAUCGAAGUUCAAAACAUCUGCAAGCUUCCCGUACUCUGAGUACACCCACGCCUUGUUUACAGAUGGUACGGAAACUGUAUCACUUGAAGCUACAGCCACCAUUGAUGCACUGCAAAACCACAAGAACUUGCAAAGGGAAAGGGAAAUGGUUUGUUGUUGUUGUUGUGAGCAAAUGAGUGAGAUACGAUCAGUCUGAGAUCUUGGCACCGUGUCAUUUUAAUGGUGAAGGAGAAGGAUGUGGGUUUUACUGGCGAAGGAGGAGGAUGUAGCUGUUAACUACAUUGAAAUGUUUGGGAAUUAAAGAGAAAAUCAAGAAAAAUCGAUGAAUAGAAGGAUGAACACAGAGAUCUUAGAGAGAGAGAGAUAAAGUUUAGAAAGAGAAAUAUGAGGCUUGUAUUAACUAAAAAUAAAGAUUACACAACUAUGUUUUUAUAAGAGAAUAGCCUACCAACUCUAACCAAAUACUAACAAACUUACUAGAUUGUUGACUUGUACAAUCUUUUUAACUAACCAUCUAACUAUUGGUGUGAAACCCUUAAUAGUAGCAACCACCUUGAUCAGCACCUCAUCCUCCUUAAUUUCAGGAACAGCCAAAAAUAAAAAAUAAAGAUGGUUAUUGGAAAGCGAGUAGUUGAUGUCACAGCCCGUCCCGAGAUUCUAUAUAUCGAGGUUGUGAAAUGACAAAAUUACCCUUAACGGUUACUAAGGUAUGUGUGUGACAUGUUAUUGAUUAUGCAUAUUUCCUAAGUUUUGGAAAAAUUUAAUUGGAUUAAAGGUUAUAUGUAUUUUUGUGGUUAGGGAGUUAAGAAAAAUGGAUGGUGAUGGUUUUGGGAUGGACCACACACACAUACACACGGGUCAAACCUCUCUCUCUCUCCUUCCCGUGCUCUCUCUCUCUCUUCUCUUCUCAGUUCACUCUCUCCCUCUCAAAACUUACGGAUGAGACCAAAUUCCCUCUAAACAUCGCGGAUCGACGCCGAAAAGGUAAGGUUCUUCAUCCUUUCGACCUCCUGAGUCGUUUGGUACUAGUUUUAGAAUGGGAAACCUUAGAAAUCACGUUGAAAACCCGAGGUCCAAUUUGAGUACUGUUCAUGCAUUCGUGAUGUGUUGAUUUUCAGGGAAUUCUAAGCUUAUAGUGAGCUUAGUGAGGUCCUAAGGAAGCUCGGAGUGCUUAGUUUAAAGGUUUUAGACGUCGGGAUCGUUGAGUUCGAAGUUGGCCGGUUUUCUUGGAAUUUCUCCGGUGAGAUUUCGUAGUUUUUAGAGCCUUAAAGUAGUGUAACGUGAAUCUACAUGCUUAGGGCUUCAUUUUGAUAUAAAAUGCGUGAAAAUGGUUGAGAAAUGACGGAGAACAAGGAGAUUGAAAAAUCUCCAGUUUUUCGACGACCGGCGACUAGAGGUUAGGGGUGAUACGCAUGGGGGCACGUGGACCCGUGCCCAUCCUGGCGCGUGCGGCCUCGGAAAAAUUUUCUGAAAAUAUGUCGACGUCCAUGACGUCGAGUAGGUCACUGUGGUAUAUUCAUAUACCCAAAUUGAGCACCGUAUGAGAAGUUAUUUCGAAUUGUCUGUUAUGUGCUUUAAAUAACGUUAUUUUAGUUGUUUCGCAUAUAGGUGAUACCUAUCCCGAGGACGAGCGCAUCCAGGGAUGUCACAGGGGUUACGACCCUUCGACUUAUCAGUGAGUGGGCAGUUAUUUUCUGUUAUUACCUAUAUACUAUUGAUUUUCCCAGAAAUUGAAUUUAAAUGAAAGUAUGUUUUCAAAUGCCAUGCAUGCAUAUUAUGAAUUAUAUGAAUUAGUAAUUGAUGCAUAUAUAUAUAUAUGAAUUGGUGUUGUGGACGCACAUGUGAGUAUCAGGUGAGUUUUAUGUUAUCUAUGUGAAUCAUUUAUGAUGUGAAUUAUGUUGAGAGCUCAUAACCUGCACCCCUGGUGUUAGUGCUUAUAGUAUUCACCGCACCGCACGCUCACCUUGGAUCCAAGUAGGUGCAUGUCGUACAAACCAUGAGAGAGUUCCGACAUACUAGUCGUACAGAUCACUAGAGGUGGUUCCGACUGGUAGGUGACCUUAGAUUAUGUGCACAGAUGAUUGAUGAGAGAAGCACUAAAGCGUAUUAUUACACCAUUCUUGUUGUACAGACUACUUCAGGUAGUUCCGACUUAUGUGCAGAGUAGUGCCGUACAGGUCACCGUGGUGACUCCGGUUGGUUUGGAUAUUGAGCUAUGGAAUUAACCGUACAGGAUCAAUUGCAGGGUCUCCGGUUAAUUCAUUAUGUCACCUGUUAUAUUGAUGCAUUCACAAUCUGUUAUUGACAUUUAUGGCAUGGCAUAUUUUCUGGAAUUGAUAAAGAUUCGUGAUUUGAGUUAUAUGAAGAGUUAUAUGCAUAUUAUGUUAAUUUCUGGGAAAGUAUACAUGUUUUACAGCGAGAGGUUAGAAUUGCUUUUGAUGAAAUGUUUUCGAAAAAAUUUGGUUUUACUGACCCAUUCAAUUUUGUUUUGCGCCCCUCUAGGUUCUAGUUAGCAGCAUUGGUGGCCCACGAGGAUCCCCACGGCGUACUGACAGACUACAUAAAUGUAGGACUCACCUGCGGGUGUUGUAAUCUAGUUAUGGUCCUACUUGACUGCACCUAGUUCUUAUGCUCUGAAUUUGUGUGUUUCACACUUAAACUUACUCUAGCACGUUACUUGGUUAUUAUUGCUAGUAUUUGGUUUUUGUUUAUUCGUAUUUCUCUUAUCUUUUGCUUCCGCGUCGCACUUUUGGUUACGUCACACUCACGUGGUGGCCAGCACGCCUUGAUUCUAGGAUUGGGGUGUGUCAGUUGAGCCCAAACUGGCAAACCGAAGUGUUGUUAAGAAAUUCCCACUAUGGUCUCUAGAGAACAAUCCUAACCCCUAUUAUGACUAGUUGUUCAAAAGGAUCUCCCGUUCUUCCAUCAAAUAUUUUUGGCCCUUUAAAAAUAUCUUUGUAAGUAUCCUUAAAAGUAACUUUGUAAGUUUCAUAUCGUUAGUUAAAAAAUAACAAAUAAAUAUAAAGAUUUGCAAUAUAUCAUAGGAUUUGGAGGAACUGUAAGAGGGAGUACAUCCGCUCUAACCAAUGCCCGUGUUAAAGCUAAAAAACACAGCAAUGAGCAAGUAGGAAGAAAACACACUGCAAACUAGCCAAACUAGAAGCACUAUAUAAAUACACAUAACAUUGCGCCCUUAUUACAAGACUUUCAAACAAGCGGGCAGCAGGAUACAAGUAUAUCACACACGAACAGACUGCAAGCCUGAACUAGUAUACUCUAUUAUCUCAUGGGAUGGGAUACACAACCACCUUUCCGGUAGCUCUGGAGGUUUCAAGAUAGGCAAAUGCUUCAACAGUCUUCGAAAAUGGAUACGGGCCGGUGGGAUCAAGCACCGGCUUCACCUUCCCACUCUCCAAGUAAGGCUUCAGUUUCUCUAAUACAGCUCCGGUUGAAGUAAGCACAAAUAUGAUUGCCGGUGGCGUUACUGGACCUAUGAUUGUCACAACCUUCCCGCCUUCCUUCACCGCCUUCAAUGCCCUGUCACUCUGCCCUGUUUUUGUUAAUUUCAACAACACAAAACAACAUCAGUCAUUGUGCUUGAUUUGUUUAAGAAAAAAACAACGAUGAAAAUUCAAGAAUUAUACCAACUGCAUCAUAAACCACAUCGAAUUUCUCAGGCAGGUCUUCGAAGUUCUCCUUGGUGUAAUCAAUAGCCAAAUCAGCACCCAAGCUUCUCAAAAGAUCGAGUUUUUUCGUGCUCGCUGUAGCUGCUACUUUUGAAGCACUAAACACGCUUUGCUAGCUG
rnacentral:lncRNA from 1 species